rnacentral:rRNA from 1 species
CUUUGCUGACGAGUGGCGGANGGGUGAGUAAUGCUUGGGAAUCUGGCUUAUGGAGGGGGAUAACUACUGGAAACGGUAGCUAAUACCGCGUAAUGUCUACGGACUAAAGGGGGCGAAAGCUCUUGCCAUAAGAUGAGCCCAAGUGGGAUUAGGUAGUUGGUGAGGUAACGGCUCACCAAGCCGUCGAUCUCUAGCUGGUCUGAGAGGAUGACCAGCCACACUGGAACUGAGACACGGUCCAGACUCCUACGGGAGGCAGCAGUGGGGAAUAUUGCACAAUGGGGGAAACCCUGAUGCAGCCAUGCCGCGUGAAUGAAGAAGGCCUUCGGGUUGUAAAGUUCUUUCGGUGAUGAGGAAGGUGUGAUGGUUAAUACCCAUGACAAUUGACGUUAGUCACAGAAGAAGCACCGGCUAACUCCGUGCCAGCAGCCGCGGUAAUACGGAGGGUGCAAGCGUUAAUCGGAAUAACUGGGCGUAAAGGGCACGCAGGCGGUUGUUUAAGUGAGGUGUGAAAGCCCUGGGCUCAACCUGGGAAUUGCAUUUCAGACUGGACAACUAGAGUACUUUAGGGAGGGGUAGAAUUCCACGUGUAGCGGUGAAAUGCGUAGAGAUGUGGAGGAAUACCGAAGGCGAAGGCAGCCCCUU